rnacentral:tRNA from 1 species
CGCGCGCCUCGUGCGCUGGCUGGGCGGUUUCGGCGCCGUCGCCGCCGGUUACGCGGUGUUCCAGUCACUGGUGGGCAUCC